rnacentral:lncRNA from 1 species
GGGCCAAACGGCCCCGAUCUUACCCAUUUUUCGGCGAUCAAACCGCCGCACGGCUACCCCCCCAUCCCGAUGCCCCCGGACCGCUGGUCCCGUGGGACCAAACGGAAACGGAAUCGGAGGCCCGGAUCAUGAGUUACGGCCGAAACCGGCAAAGCCUACUAAGCGGCCCCCGAUCUUGCCCAUUUUUCGCCCUUCAAACUGCCGCGCGGCUUCCCCCCCAUCCCGAUGCCCCCGGACCGCUGGUCCCGUGGGACGAAACGGAAACGGAAUCGGGGCCCUUGAUCAUGAGUUACGGCCCCUUCGUUGCGGCCCCCGAGGCCGUGCGCUAUAGCCCCCCGGGCGCCCCCGCCGCCGACCGCACCCGCCCGAACUCGUCCACCUCACCCGCCGUGUGCCGAUCCCGCCCCGCUGUCCCCCCCGGGGCAUGAACCGCCCCCCGUGGGGCCGAAACCGGCAAAACGGGCCAAGCGGCCCCGAUCUUACCCAUUUUUCGGCGAUCAAACCGCCGCACGGCUACCCCCCCAUCCCGAUGCCCCCGGACCGCUGGUCCCGUGGGACCAAACGGAAACGGAAUCGGAGGCCCGGAUCAUGAGUUACGGCCGAAACCGGCAAAGCCUACUAAGCGGCCCCCGAUCUUGCCCAUUUUUCGCCCUUCAAACUGCCGCGCGGCUACCCCCCCAUCCCGAUGCCCCCGGACCGCUGGUCCCGUGGGACGAAACGGAGACGGAAUCGGGGCCCCCGAUCAUGAGUUACGGCCCCUUCGUUGCGGCCCCCGAGGCCGUGCGCUAUAGCCCCCCGGGCGCCCCCGCCGCCGACCGCACCCGCCCGAACCCGACCACCUCACCCGCCGUGUGCCGAUCCCGCCCCGCUGUCCCCCCCGGGGCAUGAACCGCCCCCCGGGGGGCCGAAACCGGCAAAACGGGCCAAACGGCCCCGAUCUUACCCAUUUUUCGGCGAUCAAACCGCCGCACGGCUACCCCCCCAUCCCGAUGCCCCCGGACCGCUGGUCCCGUGGGACCAAACGGAAACGGAAUCGGAGGCCCGGAUCAUGAGUUACGGCCGAAACCGGCAAAGCAUAUUAAGCGGCCCCCGAUCUUGCCCAUUUUUCGCCCUUCAAACUGCCGCGCGGCUACCCCCCCAUCCCGAUGCCCCCGGACCGCUGGUCCCGUGGGACGAAACGGAAACGGAAUCGGGGCCCCCGAUCAUGAGUUACGGCCCCUUCGUUGCGGCCCCCGAGGUCGUGCGCUAUAGCCUCCCGGGCGCCCCCGCCGCCGACCGCACCCGCCCGAACCCGACCACCUCACCCGCCGUGUGCCGAUCCCGCCCCGCUGUCCCCCCCGGGGCAUGAACCGCCCCCCGGGGGGCCGAAACCGGCAAAACGGGCCAAACGGCCCCGAUCUUACCCAUUUUUCGGCGAUCAAACCGCCGCACGGCUACCCCCCCAUCCCGAUGCCCCCGGACCGCUGGUCCCGUGGGACAAAACGGAAACGGAAUCGGAGGCCCGGAUCAUGAGUUACGGCCGAAACCGGCAAAGCCUACUAAGCGGCCCCCGAUCUUGCCCAUUUUUCGCCCUUCAAACUGCCGCGCGGCUACCCCCCCAUCCCGAUGCCCCCGGACCGCUGGUCCCGUGGGACGAAACGGAAACGGAAUCGGGGCCCCCGAUCAUGAGUUACGGCCCCUUCGUUGCGGCCCCCGAGGCCGUGCGCUAUAGCCCCCCGGGCGCCCCCGCCGCCGACCGCACCCGCCCAAACCCGACCACCUCACCCGCCGUGUGCCGAUCCCGCCCCGCUUUCCCCCCCGGGGCAUGAACCGCCCCCCGGGGGGCCGAAACCGGCAAAACGGUGCCAAACCUGCCCCGAUCUUACCCAUUUUUCGGCGAUCAAACCGCCGCACGGCUACCCCCCCAUCCCGAUGCCCCCGGACCGCUGGUCCCGUGGGACCAAACGGAAACGGAAUCGGAGGCCCGGAUCAUGAGUUACGGCCGAAACCGGCAAAGCCUACUAAGCGGCCCCCGAUCUUGCCCAUUUUUCGCCCUUCAAACUGCCGCGCGGCUACCCCCCCCAUCCCGAUGCCCCCGGACCGCUGGUCCCGUGGGACGAAACGGAAACGGAAUCGGGGCCCCCGAUCAUGAGUUACGGCCCCUUCGUUGCGGCCCCCGAGGCCAUGCGCUAUAGCCCCCCGGGCGCCCCCGCCGCCGACCGCACCCGCCCGAACCCGACCACCUCACCCGCCGUGUGCCGAUCCCGCCCCGCUGUCCCCCCCGGGGCAUGAACCGCCCCCCGGGGGGCCGAAACCGGCAAAACGGGCCAAACGGCCCCGAUCUUACCCAUGUUUCGGCGAUCAAACCGCCGCACGGCUACCCCCCCAUCCCGAUGCCCCCGGACCGCUGGUCCCGUGGGACCAAACGGAAACGGAAUCGGAGGCCCGGAUCAUGAGUUACGGCCGAAACCGGCAAAGCCUACUAAGCGGCCCCCGAUCUUGCCCAUUUUUCGCCGUUCAAACUGCCG